rnacentral:rRNA from 1 species
CACACAUACACAACUUUUCCUAAAGCACCAAAUCCCAUCUGAUCUUGGAGGCUAAAUAGGCUCAGUUUUGGUGAAUAUUUGGAUGGGAGAUCACUAAGGAAUCCUAGGUGUUGUGGGC